UACGAAGGGGGCUAGCGUUGCUCGGAAUCACUGGGCGUAAAGCGCACGUAGGCGGAUUGCUAAGUCAGGGGUGAAAUCCUGGGAGCUCAACUCCAGAACUGCCUUUGAUACUGGCGAUCUCGAGUUCGGGAGAGGUGAGUGGAACUGCGAGUGUAGAGGUGAAAUUCGUAGAUAUUCGCAAGAACACCAGUGGCGAAGGCGGCUCACUGGCCCGAUACUGACGC
rnacentral:rRNA from 1 species